GACGAGGGGUCCAAGCGUUGUUCGGAAUCAUUGGGCGUAAAGCGGGUGUAGGCGGCUCUAUAAGUCAGGAGUGAAAGCCCCGGAGCUUAACUUGGGAAGUGCUUUUGAUACUGCAGUGCUUGAAUGUGGGAGAGGUUAGUGGAAAUUCCAGGUGUAGUGGUGAAAAUACGUAGAUAUCUGGAGGAACACCGGUGGCGAAGGCGGCUAACUGGCCCAACAUUGACGCUGAGACCCGAAAGCAUGGGGAUCAAACAGG
rnacentral:rRNA from 1 species